AUGCAAAUUCAUGUGCUAGAAUACACUAUUUGGAGGUUAAAGUAGUUAGAAAUUUAUUAAUUUAAUAUAUUCUUGAAAAUUUAAUACAAUUUUCCUAUUCAAUAUAUUAAAAUAUAUUAUAAUUUUUUUACAAUUUAAUUAUAUAUUGUAUCUUACUCUUGUGUGCCUAUAAUAAUUGUAUAAUUCGGUUUUAUAUUUAAUCAUCUGCAUAUAACCUUACGUACAAAAAACAAAAGAUUAUCUUGUCAGAUUCCUAAGCUUCAGCAUAGAAGACAGGUGGCAUUUUGAAACAUCAGUAUAUAACACUUUCUUAUAAGUUUUUUCUAUGAAAAAUGUAUAACUGUGUACAGAUUAUUUAAACUUUUAUUUUUGAUGGUUAUUUCCCAACAUCUUUUAUUUCAAAAAGAACUUAUCUACAUUUAUUGACUAUUAUUGUAAAAUUCUUACUUUAAAUACAUUUUUCUUUCAGCAAAAAUAAUUGUAAAACAUUAUAUUGGAUAUUUUGGAUGUAGUUUUAACAUUUUACACACGAAUAAACAUAAGGUAACUGUUCAAAUAAAUUUCCCAUCAAUAUUAGAUUAGAUUUUAUGUGAAAUAAAAAAUAAUUAGAAAGA